UUUCAAAGUAGACGGUAAACAUGACUGCAUGAUAGGAGAAAUUUACACUGAAUGUCACUUUUGCACUUAUUAAUACCAUUCCAAGUCACUUUCUACUCCUACCACACUUUCUAUUGUCUUUCCUUUAUUCCUGACCAUGAGAAAUUCCAAUUUUACCCAUGUGCACACUUCUAAAAGCUAACUAAUGUUUUUCUAACUAAAAAACUAUCGUAAAACUUAGUUUACAAAAAUAAACUAUCGUAAAACUUUUUUUUCUGGGUCUCUCUGUUCAAAGUUUUUUUUUAUUUGAUUUCAUUGGUUGCACAAACUUUCCAGAAUUAUCAUGUGUUUCAUGGCGACUGGUUCUUCUAGGGGGCUGCGUCUUCCGAAUCCUCUGCUAGUAUCGUUGAUUCCAAAUCUCUAAUCGAUGGAGACGAUUCAAAACCCUAGUUCUCAUGAGGUAUUCUUUCAAACUCUCAAGUAUAUGAAAGAUUUGCUGUUCCUAGAUUGGAUUUAAAGUGGCUAUUUUGACUCCAUAUCAGCCGGAAAAGAUCGAAAGCUUCGGAGUUUGAAGCUGAUACAUUGUCAAGAUCAUAUAACUCGGUGGCAGUGAGCUCAGUUGCAGAGAGUAUUAAGGGCUAUAGGAAGUGGAAGAGUAGAGUUGAAACAUGGAGCAUACACAGACAUUUACAGAGCUAGACUCAAUUCUGAUGGUCUCCUCGUCGUGUUCAAGUAUCUCGCCGCGGUGAUCUGAGAUGCCAAUAGGCUAAAGAAGAACGGAUUAUGAGGAGAUGAAUUCUCUGUGGGUGAGAUUAAGAGAUGUGUGAUUUAGUUUUUGUUAAGGCCUUGAUGCUAGCGUAGGAGUCUGACCACAGAGAUUUGAAGCUUGAGAAUAUGGACUGCCCAAGAUUGCAGAUUUUGGCCAUGUGACCAUAAGAAGGUACAUGUAGCUCUUAAAAGAAGGUGUACAUAUGGAUACUAUUGUACACGUGGAUUACGUUUUUGCCGUACAUAGACUGAAACAUAAUGUGUUGUGGUUGCGUGACUUUGAAAUUUGAGUGUUCCAUA